AGUGAACGCUGGCGGUAGGCCUAACACAUGCAAGUCGAACGGCAGCACAGUAAGAGCUUGCUCUUACGGGUUGCGAGUGGCGUACGUGUGAGGAAUACAUCGUACUCUACUUUUUCGUGUGGGAUAACGUAGGUAAACUUACGCUAAUAUCGCAUCCGACCUACGGGUGAAAGCAUGGGAUCUUCUCACCUUGCGCGAUUGAAUGCGCCGAUGUCGGAUUAGCUAGUUGGCGGGUUAAAGGCCCACCCAGGCGACGAUCCGUAGCUGGUGUGAGAGGAUGAUAACCCACAUGGGAACGGAACCACGGACCAGACUACUGAGAGAGGCAGCAGAGUGGAAUAUUGGACAAUGGGGGCAAGCAUGAUCCAGCCAGACCGAGUGGGUGAAAGAGGCCUUGGGGUUGGAAAGACCUUUUGUUGGGAAAGAAAAGCAGCAGGUUGAGACGAAGCUGUUCUGACGGUACCCAAAGAAUAAGCACCGGCUAACUACGUG
rnacentral:rRNA from 1 species